AGAAUAUUUCUGUUUUUCAACAGUUUUGAAGUAAUGCAAUGCCUUUAUCAAUCCUUAAUUUUUUGUUUUCCUUAACCUAUAGUUUAAUGCAUUUGAACUUUUUGUUUUGUUUCUAAACAGCAAUCAUCAAAGUCCAACAAAAUGCAUUUUUUUUUCAUUUUUACAUUGUUCUCUCAAAUGAUUCAUUGCUGGAGUGAAGUCUCUCAAGUAUCCUGUAGAUAGUCCUUGUUUUAUUAAAAAAUAUUUAUUAGAAGUAAGCAAAUUAUAUUUCCUUUUUCUCCCUUGCAAAUAUUCCUAAAUAUGUGUCAUUGGACACCACUUUGCAUGUAGUAAAAUGUAAAGCCAUUAUUUUCUGCUUUGCUGAC